UAGGGAAUCUUCGGCAAUGGGGGGAACCCUGACCGAGCAACGCCGCGUGAGUGAAGAAGGUUUUCGGAUCGUAAAGCUCUGUUGUUAAGGAAGAACGAGUGUGAGAAUGGAAAGUUCAUGCUGUGACGGUACUUAACCAGAAAGGGACGGCUAACUACGUGCCAACAGCCGCGGUAAUACGUAGGUCCCGAGCGUUGUCCGGAUUUAUUGGGCGUAAAGCGAGCGCAGGCGGUUAGAUAAGUCUGAAGUUAAAGGCAGUGGCUCAACCAUUGUAGGCUUUGGAAACUGUUUAACUUGAGUGCAGAAGGGGAGAGUGGAAUUCCAUGUGUAGCGGUGAAAUGCGUAGAUAUAUGGAGGAACACCGGUGGCGAAAGCGGCUCUCUGGUCUGUAACUGACGCUGAGGCUCGAAAGCGUGGGGAGCGAACAGG
rnacentral:rRNA from 1 species